ACAUGUCGUAUAUAACACAAGUAUUGCACUAGAUAGAUCAGUUGGCAGGAAACAUCUGCGCAAAGUAGUUAGCUGCUUACUUUGUUAGCGACAACUUGAAGAUACCAUGAGAGUUUUGGGUCGAUGAGGUUGGUAAUUCACCUCACAACCCACACGAUAGAAGAAUAGCAACAGGCUCGCCCUCUAUUACAUAUGUCCAUGAGUGGACGGGAUGCCAUAGAGGCGCGAUCAUCAGUUGAUGGUAGGGCUGGCAGAGGAAGACCUAGAAGGACUUACAUUGACCAAAUUGGAGAUGUCCUUAGAAAAGUUGAUAUUCGCCGUGAUCGCCCUGCUGUGUGGAGCAUCAUCAGCUAUCGACCCGAAGCGACAGCUGAUCAACCGGCCCACUCGUGACAUGAUCUUCAGGGGAGUCAGAUCAGUGAACAAUGAUGCUAUUGCUGCCUUGCAAACUUGGAAUGACUCUAAAAAAUUCAGAAACAGUGAAGAACUGAAGACAACCGGACAACUUAGAUAACUAAAAUAAACUAAAAUGAGGCAGACCAGAACAACGUUCCCUAAUAAUAACGUAGAUGACGUUGUCUAACGCUACCUUCGUUUAUUCUUUUAAUUUCAUAGAAUUCACACACGUGCAUCUUUCAAUUUAUUCAGAAAUAAUAAUAAUAAAAAACAGAAUUUAAAUCCACCACAGGCUUCGUCAGU